UGCAGGCAACAAAGCCUGAAAACACCAGGGUCGAUGGUCAUGUGGCUGAUCACAGCCGGGACAUCGUGGUCGUCGUCAUGGCAUUGGUGCAUUAGCUGGGUGUAGGAGAGGUUGCCGGGGAGCAUCUUCUAAUGUACAUCCUGUCCAGGCAGGUGAUGCCACUGCAGGUUUCAUGACCAUGGAGAUGAGGCUGCCGAACAACGGUUGUACAAAGGGCAUACACAGACGAGCUCUGCAAAAAAAGAGGGAUACAGAUGGAUACGGAUGAUCGGAUCGAUCCUUCUGCGACAACCAUUCUGACCCUGCUGGAGGCGAUAGCUAGACCGCAAUCAACAUCUCAUGAAUCCAACCUCUGCUGGUGCUACUGCUAACCUGACCUCUGCCUGUGGAACACCCUCUAUACAAGUCUUGAGCUCCAGGACCAUCUUCUUGCGAAACUUCCAUGACCAUAGGUUAGGUUCCUGUCUGCAACCCUGCACCUUUGAAUAUCAUCAGUCUAUUCUUCAGCUCCAACAUUUUGUUAUGGCUUUUCCAUGAGAUGGGUCCUGCAAACUGCAUUAUCCUUGGUAUAUUAUACCAGGGUGUUUGGUAGAAACCUUACUUUGCUAGCAUAUAAUUGAAGGUUCAUCUUGUCACAGAUGGG